GAGGCAGCCGGACAACAAGCCGCGUAUUCUCGCGCGCGCUUGCUGGGAGACGUGCGCGCGCGAGGCAGGCGGGUGGGGGCGGGGGAAGCGCAGCUGAGCGUUCGAGGUGUGGGUGGGGCCAUAAUCUCAGCCGUCUCCUGCAAGCUCCUGCUAAUUCCGAUGACUUCAGACGCCGAGAGUGAAGUGAGGAUGGCUUCCGAUUGGACGGAAGGAAAGAGGCCAUAGGGAACAGACGCUGGAAGGGAUUGGAAGUGCAGGGCUGUGGCGUCAUCGCGGGAGGAGCCAAUCCAGGCGCGGGAUCAGGGCCUCCUCCCGGCGACGGUCCACUGAGAGCUCAAUUCCGGCGGUGGGUUGGCACUGGCAGGCAGCCGGCGCCUUUCUGCUGCGUGUGAAAUUUCAGCCCGCUUCCAAGAGAUGUGGUAGAUGCCGACCAGGUGUAUUGAUAUUAGGCAUGGAAACAGAAUAUGGCUCUAAACCCUGCGGGGAAUGAGAUUAACGGUCUUCACGCCAAGGAGACGGCUGCUUCCCUUUCCUGCUUCACACUCCCCAAUCCCCUCGGCACCCCUCACUCAUUUGCCCGUCUCCGCUAAGGCAUCAGCGGUCGGCACAGAUGGGCAGCGACUGGAGCCCUAGCAAGCCUUCACCGGGCCUUAGCAGCUCGGCCACAGUAGUAGGAGGGGCCCCUCAGUUCUCUUCUCCCCCCGCCCCGCACAAAGUUGUCUAAGGGUAAGGCAGGGAAUUAGCCAUCUUGGUUCAUUCACUCGCCUUCUCCCUUGGGACGGUGGUGGGGUCUGAGCCUGGCACCACCACCCCGAGGAAAUCAGAGGACAAGUAGAGGUAGCUCCUGUUGCAGGGAGCAAGUGAUGGUGGAAAGCAUGGAGGUUCGGGCCCUGUUCCUUGUAACCGCUUCCGCGGCAAAGGAGCCCUUGCGCCCAAUCCCAACAGUCAUGGUGAGACAACACGGCACAGGGCCAGCUGCUGCUUGCAGCCGCCUCUGCUGAUAUGGCCCGCUCUAGCGCUUCCCUCGGCCAUUAGAGCCUAUCGGGGUGAGGGAACGGAACAGCAGAGGCAGCUGCAAAGAGGAGCCACCACCCACUGCCUUAACUCGCUUGCCUUAUCCCUCUGGGUGGCAUGGCAGGCCCCAAUGUGGGGCCCCAAAGAAAGGGCAGAGGCAGUGGCUGCUGCUGCUCUGCACAGCCACAAGUGAUAGAAGUAAGUGGUAGAUACAGCUGCAAGAUCUGCCACAUCUACUCACUUGGCCUCUCCUUCCAGGUUGUGCAGCAGGGGAGGAUUUGGCCUACUUACUGCAAGUCAGUCCAACCCAACUAUUGUGCCUCUUGGAAAGAGGAGAGAGGGCUGUUUCUGCUGAGGUGUCACCCUCUCAGGUGUGUGCUGAAAAAUGGCAGAGAAUGUAUAAAAGGUAGAAGAUAAGCUUGAGGCAAGGUAAAGGUAAACUAAAGGCAACUUGCCCAAAGAUAACUUGAAAAGCUGGUGCAUGUCAUUCUUGUAGGACUAAUCACAGCAACUUGGGUUCCAGCCACUCCUUGGUAAG